UCGCACGCUCGGUCUUCGGACCGGGCGUGGCGCACGGCUGAGGAACACGUGGGCACCUGCCCUCCGGUGGGGGAUAACCCCGCGAAAGCGGGGCUAAUCCCGCAUACGCUUGGCGAAAGUCAAGGAAAGUGGCAACGCGCCGGAGGAGGGGCCUGCGGCCCAUCAGGUCGUCGGUGGGGUAACGGCCUACCGAGCCGAUGACGGGUAGCUGGUCUGUGAGGACAACCAGCCAGACUGGGACUGAGACACGGCCCAGACUCCUACGGGAGGCAGCAGCAAGGAAUUUUCCCCAAUGGGCGCAAGCCUGAGGGAGCAACGCCGCGUGCAGGACGACGGCCUUCGGGUUGUAAACUGCUUUUGGGAGGGACGACGAUGACGGUACCUCCCGAAUAAGCCCCGGCUAACUCUGUGCCAGCAGCCGCGGUAAGACAGAGGGGGCAAGCGUUGUCCGGACUGACUGGGCGUAAAGCGCGCGCAGGCGGCGCGGGGCGUCGGUGCUGAAAUCGGGCCGCUUAACGGCCCGCGGCGUGCCGAUACGCCCGUGCUGGAGGGUGGGCGAGGGUGGUGGAAUUGCCGGUGUAGUGGUGAAAUGCGAAGAGAUCGGAAGGAACACCCGUGGCGAAAGCGGCCACCUAGCCCGCACCUGACGCUGAUGCGCGACAGCGUGGGGAGCGAACUGGAUUAGAUACCCAGGUAGUCCACGCCGUA
rnacentral:rRNA from 1 species